rnacentral:rRNA from 1 species
UACGUAGGGGGCAAGCGUUAUCCGGAUUUACUGGGUGUAAAGGGAGCGUAGACGGCUUUGCAAGCCAGACGUGAAAGCCCGGGGCUCAACCCCGGGACUGCAUUUGGAACUGUGUGGCUAGAGUGUCGGAGAGGCAGGCGGAAUUCCUAGUGUAGCGGUGAAAUGCGUAGAUAUUAGGAGGAACACCAGUGGCGAAGGCGGCCUGCUGGACGAUGACUGACGUUGAGGCUCGAAAGCGUGGGGAGCAAACAGG